GAGAAAUGAUUGUGGCUUAUCUAAAUGGAUCUCUCUAAUUGCAUGUUCUCAAGAUAAAUGGAAGUUCUAGGAAAUUAUGGUGCGAAGAAAAAUAAAGGUCAGAACAACAGGUGAAGCUGUCACAUUCCAUCGCCUGCAGUACUGCAAUAUUAACUACGCCUGCCAAGGAAGAAGAUCAGCCUUCCUCGAGUGACCUAGGCUUGGAGUGCUGCAGAGAGCUCUCCACAGAUGGGAAGAC
rnacentral:lncRNA from 12 species